CACUGGCAGAAAAGAGAUGAAGAUUUCCAGAUAUAGAGACUCACAAGAUAAAGAAGCCCAGAGUCGUUAGACAGAGGAGCAGAUGUACAGGGUGCGCCUGACUCACACUCACGGUUGCAUAAGUAAGAUUUCAAAAUUAAUAUACUCUGGAGACCUCAACCUAGCGUACAAUGUUCCUGGCUGGAAAAGAAGAACUAUAUCAUUCUUUUUUUUCAAAUCUUUACCAUUACUUGCCGUUGUAUCUCCGCCUCCUGCAGGAAAUAUUAUUUCCUACUUCUGCACACCAAGUUUCUACCUCCAGAUCUGUUUGCUUCAGUUGCUGAGAAGCCUGACCCUCCAGUACCACUUGGGAGAAGCCAUCCACUGGACGGA
rnacentral:lncRNA from 1 species